GGAUAUAUAGCUCAGUCGGUUAGAGCGUUCGCCUGAUAAGCGAGAGGUCGCAAGUUCAAUUCUUGCUAUAUCCACCA
rnacentral:tRNA from 1 species